rnacentral:rRNA from 1 species
UACUGCCUACGGGGCGCAGCAGGGGGGAAUAUUGGGCAAUGGGCGCAAGCCUGACCCAGCAACGCCGCGUGAAGGAAGAAGGCCUUCGGGUUGUAAACUUCUUUUCUCAGGGACGAAGAAAGUGACGGUACCUGAGGAAUAAGCCACGGCUAACUACGUGCCAGCAGCCGCGGUAAUACGUAGGUGGCAAGCGUUAUCCGGAUUUACUGGGUGUAAAGGGCGUGUAGGCGGGAGUGCAAGUCAGAUGUGAAAACCACGUGCUCAACCUGUGUCCUGCAUUUGAAACCGUACUU